rnacentral:rRNA from 1 species
AACGAACGCUGGCGGCAGGCUUAACACAUGCAAGUCGAGCGCCCCGCAAGGGGAGCGGCAGACGGGUGAGUAACGCGUGGGAAUCUACCCAUCCCUACGGAACAACUCCGGGAAACUGGAGCUAAUACCGUAUACGCCCUUCGGGGGAAAGAUUUAUCGGGGAUGGAUGAGCCCGCGUUGGAUUAGCUAGUUGGUGGGGUAAUGGCCUACCAAGGCGACGAUCCAUAGCUGGUCUGAGAGGAUGAUCAGCCACACUGGGACUGAGACACGGCCCAGACUCCUACGGGAGGCAGCAGUGGGGAAUAUUGGACAAUGGGCGAAAGCCUGAUCCAGCCAUGCCGCGUGAGUGAUGAAGGCCCUAGGGUUGUAAAGCUCUUUCACCGGUGAAGAUAAUGACGGUAACCGGAGAAGAAGCCCCGGCUAACUUCGUGCCAGCAGCCGCCGUAAUAC